UGGGCGAGGUGCCGGCGGGUGGUUCUGGACCUGGCGAUGACUUCGCAGGCGACACCUGCGCCACUGUGUACGUUUCUGCUGCCCCUCAGCAAACAGGGUUUCCCUCUGUUGCCAAGGCUGAAGUGAAGUAGUGCAAACACAGGUCAUGGAAAUCUCUGAUUCAUGUCGGCAAACCAUUCUCCCGCCUCAGCCUCCCAAAAAAAUUGGGAUUACAGUGAAUUGAAAAGACAGAGAUGAAGAUGAAGUGGAUGGGCACGUGGAGACAAUUCUUUCAAGAAGCUUUGGCUGUAAAGGAAAAAAG